AUCUCGGCUCUCGCAUCGAUGAAGAACGUAGCGAAAUGCGAUACUUGGUGUGAAUUGCAGAAUCCCGUGAACCAUCGAGUCUUUGAACGCAAGUUGCGCCCGAAGCCUUCGGGCCGAGGGCACGCCUGCCUGGGCGUCACGCAUCGCUUCGCCCCCACCACUCCGCUCGAACGAAGCGG
rnacentral:rRNA from 1 species